rnacentral:rRNA from 1 species
ACUCCUACGGGAGGCAGCAGUAGGGAAUAUUGGUCAAUGGGCGAAAGCCUGAACCAGCCAUGCCGCGUGUCAGAUGAAGGUCCUCUGGAUUGUAAAUGUACUUUUCUACGGGAAGAAUGAGCCGUCUGCGGACGGAAGUUGACGGUACCGUAGGAAUAAGCACCGGCUAACUACGUGCCAGCAGCCGCGGUAAUACGUAGGGUGCAAGCGUUGUCCGGUAUUUACGUGGGUUUAAAGGGUACGUAGGCGGUUGUGCCAAGUCUGGGGUUGAAAGUUUGCAGCUCAACUGUAAAAUUGCCUUGGAUACUGGUCGGCUAGAGUAGUGGAGCGGUGGCUGGAAUUUAUAGUGUAGCGGUGAAAUGCUUAGAUACUAUGAGGAACACCAAUUGCGAAGGCAGGUCACUGGUCACUAACUGACGCUGAGGUACGAAAGUGUGGGAUCAAACAGGAUUAGAUACCCUGGUAGGAUAGCG